UUCCUGGAGGAUUACCUUGAGCAAGAAG
rnacentral:piRNA from 1 species